GACGAACGCUGGCGGCGUGCUUAACACAUGCAAGUCGAACGAAGUGGCGAACGGGUGAGUAACGCGUAAUCAACCUGCCCUUCAGAGGGGGACAACAGUUGGAAACGACUGCUAAUACCGCAUACUGAAGGAGGGGAUUGCGUCUGAUUUGCUAGUUGGAGGGGUAACGGCCCACCAAGGCGAUGAUCAGUAGCCGGUUGGAGAGGAUGAAAGGCACAAUUGUGACUGGGACAAGGCCCAGAAUCCUACGGGAGGCAGCAGUGGGGAAUCUUCCGCAAUGGAUGAAAGUCUGACGGAGCAACGCCGCGGGAGGGAUGACGGCCUUCGGGUUGGAAAGCUCUGUUAAUCGGGACGCGGUACCGGAAUAGAAAGCCACGGCUAACUACGUGCCAGCCGCCGCGGUAAUAC
rnacentral:rRNA from 1 species